rnacentral:rRNA from 1 species
UGCGGAGGAUGCAAGCGUUAUCCGGAUUUAUUGGGUUUAAAGGGUGCGCAGGUUGUUUGAUAAGUCAGUGGUGAAAGUCUGUCGCUUAACGGUAGGAUUGCCAUUGAUACUGUUAGACUUGAAUAUGGAUGAGGUAGGCGGAAUGUGUAGUGUAGCGGUGAAAUGCAUAGAUAUUACACAGAACACCGAUUGCGAAGGCAGCUUACUAAUCCAUCAUUGACGCUGAGGCACGAAAGCGUGGGGAUCAAA